AUGGCUCCUAAGGUGGCCAAAACCCCUGUGACUUGUAAUUGGGUUCCAUCCACAGUGACAAAAAGCAAACUUGCCGAGUUUGUGAAGUCCGGCCAUCUGCCAAAGAGGGAGAUCAUGUCUUACCGUGCCCCUAAUCCAUCUGAGGAAAUACCUCAACCCAAAGACGGGGAGGUAGUAGUUUUUACGGAUCACAUGAGCCGGGGAUUUGCUCCUCCCGGUUCAAAAUUCUUCAGGGAGGUUUUGAAUUUCUUUGAUCUUAGACCUCAAGACAUCGGACCCAAUUCAGAUAUUUGCAAUUUUCAAGUCUUCUGCGAGGUGUACCUGGGAGAAGAGCCAAGUCUGCUAUUGUUUAGGGAACUUUUUUACAUGAACCGGCAAAAUGAAUGUGCCAAUGGGCCGAGUCUUGAGCAUGGCGGCAUCUCAAUCCAGCGACGGAGAGAUUGCCUUUUUCCUUAUGCUGAGCUGUCGAGUCACCCAAAAUCUUGGAACCAAACGUGGUUCUAUUGUCAAGAUACCUCACCGGCUGAUGAGAAGCCCCUGCCCGACUUUCGCGCCCUGCGCCUUGAAUCUAAUCAUCGGUUGGCAGACAAAUUAUCCACUGUUGAACGCCUGCCCCUCAACCCUACCAUCAAGAAGAUCAAAGCUCUUCUGGGGAACGGGUUAAACGGUAUCAAUCUGGUUCGAGUCUGGGUCACCUGGCGGAUACUACCAUUAAGUCGCCGCUCCGGCUUAAUGUGCACCUACACAGGCGAAAAGGAUGAUCCGAUGCGUCAAAGUCCUGAUGAUCUCCCGGAUGAUGUUAUAGAUGCUACAGUCCAAUCUCUGUUGAAGGAGGGUACUGUGACCAGUAAUGCCUUCGGCUUACUGCCCUUCUGCAAGAAGAACCCGGCCCCUGCGGUAAGUUAUCAAUCUUCAAAAAUACUCUUUAACAUGUUAUGUCUUCUUGUAUUUAUGAUUCCUUAUCUUUUUCCACAGGCCAAUGACAAUUUCUGGAAGGUCAAGUAUGACCACGAGGCCGCCAAGCAAGCCAGGGCAGCCAAGAAAACUGAAAGAAAAACUGCCAAGACGGGAACCUCAAGGAAGAAGAAACCCAAUGCUUCCGACUUGCUCAAAUUGGAUGAUACUUCUUCGGAUGAUGAAGAGGAAGAUACGGGGAAUAGUCAAGCAGUUGAAGAAGAGCAACAACAACUUGAGAACCGGAGGCAAACUCGGGCCACUCAAGAUGCCGAACUCUCCUCCGGCUUACCUGAUGUAACCAGGAAGCGUCGAACCGAGCCUACAAGUGAAGCCUAG
rnacentral:rRNA from 1 species